AGACAGGUGCUGCAUGGCUGUCGUCAGCUCGUGUUGUGAAAUGUUGGGUUAAGUCCCGCAACGAGCGCAACCCUUAUCCUUUGUUGCCAGCGAUUCGGUCGGGAACUCAAAGGAGACUGCCGGUGAUAAACCGGAGGAAGGUGGGGAUGACGUCAAGUCAUCAUGGCCCUUACGAGUAGGGCUACACACGUGCUACAAUGGCGCAUACAAAGAGAAGCGACCUCGCGAGAGCAAGCGGACCUCACAAAGUGCGUCGUAGUCCGGAUCGGAGUCUGCAACUCGACUCCGUGAAGUCGGAAU
rnacentral:rRNA from 1 species